rnacentral:rRNA from 1 species
CCCUUAGAUGUUCUGGGCUGCACGCGCGCUACACUGAUGCGUUCAACAAGUGUUAACCUUGCCCGAUAGGGUUGGGUAAUCUUUUGAAAGCGCAUCGUGAUGGGGAUCGAUGACUGCAAUUGUUCAUCUUCAACGAGGAAUUCCUAGUAAACGCAGAUCAUCAAUCUGCAUUGAUUACGUCCCUGCCCUUUGUACACACCGCCCGUCGCACCUACCGAUUGGAUGGUCCGGUGAAGCCUCGGGAUUGUGGUUCUUGCCGCUUUAUUGUGGCGUGACCGCGAGAACUUGUCUAAACCUUAUCAUCUAGAGGAAGGUGAAGUCGUAACA